ACUGGAGUUUGAUCCUGGCUCAGAUUGAACGCUGGCGGCAGGCCUAACACAUGCAAGUCGAGCGGAUGAAAGGAGCUUGCUCCUGGAUUCAGCGGCGGACGGGUGAGUAAUGCCUAGGAAUCUGCCUGGUAGUGGGGGACAACGUUUCGAAAGGAACGCUAAUACCGCAUACGUCCUACGGGAGAAAGCAGGGGACCUUCGGGCCUUGCGCUAUCAGAUGAGCCUAGGUCGGAUUAGCUAGUUGGUGAGGUAAUGGCUCACCAAGGCGACGAUCCGUAACUGGUCUGAGAGGAUGAUCAGCCACACUGGAACUGA
rnacentral:rRNA from 1 species